GAGCGAGGGAAGGUCUCGCCGAGGGAAGAAGACAUGGCGAGAGGAGGCAGGCGGAAGGCCUACAAUCAUGGAUCCGCCUCCAUCCGAAGCGAAGAAGAGCGUUGGAGGCUGCCGGCCUCGGUGCGGCCAAGCGGGGACCCCUUGGCUUCACCAAACACCAUUGGUACCCGAAUUUAUGUCGCCGAGCCCAUCGGUCACUUAAAUGAGCCGCACCUAAUUUUUGACCUAGAUGAUGUUAAGUGAAUCGUGCGAACCCAGCUUUGUCUAUUGGAAGGUCGUAAACGGGGAUUGCGGGAUGCCGUAACAGUUUUGCUGAGCCCUCGAAUUUGGACUACGGGGACGCCACACGACCGUUGAGAAUCUAACCGUCUCUCGUCACCAUGGUGCUUGUCCCGUUGGAGGUGACGAAGAGGAUACCAAUUACCAUCAUCCCUGGCCCUUCUAGUCCUUCCUCAGGUAAGGCCCAGUGGGAUUGGGGGGCUGGGGGUUCGAAAACAUUGAUCCCUAAUUUUGCCCAACAUUUUAAAUUGACCUUAUUGGGUAGUCCCUGACUUACAACCUACGUGGAGCCUGGAAUUAUGCUCGCAAGCGGGGUUGGGGGAGUGAUGUGCUACCGGUUCACCCUGGUUUGACCGAACCGGUUGCUGGUUUUAUGGCCAGUCCGGCGAACUGGUAAAUCUCACCCUUGGCUGGCCCCGCC